CAGAAGAGCCAGGAGACCAGCCCAAGGCUCGUGCUAACAACGUGCGGCCAGCGGUCAGCGUGAGCCUGGAUGGGCCGUCGUCCACCCCGCACGCACUCUCCGUGCGGGUCCAGUCACGUCCCCGGUGGACACCGUCUCUCUCCUCUUUCGCGUCAGGUGCAGCUGCACAGCCAGCCAGCAUCCCCGCGCCCUGAACCCUUCGCGGGUCCCCGGGAAGGAAGAUCUUUUCCUCUCGGCUUUUUGAUUGCGGGACUUCACUUUCCCCCCGAUAGCGAGCAGCCUCCAGAUGUGUAAACUGAGUUCUUACGAGGGCCACGUGAACUGGGGGCAUCCCGACGCACGAUGGGCCUUCACCCCGGGGCCGGCUUCACGCUCUCUGACGAGCGCCCGGAGAAAGGAAGUCUGGAAGGGUUCAUGAGAAAGAGAAGCAAGGCGGAGAAUGCACGGCCCCACACCGAGUCAGUAUCACUUCUGCCUUAACUUCCUUGAAGCCGAAGGGGAAGAAAUUAGAAGCUGAACGAAAAGGUCACCUCCCUUCAAGCUGGAAAGACGUCUAGUUUCUAGAAGCGCCUCCAAAAAUGGGAAGCCGGGUUUCCAGCGUAGUUUCCACUGGGUGCCGGAGCAAACACUGCAUCUCCUGGAACGGCCCCAGGCAGGUCGGAGGCGCCUGCCACGAAGUCCAGCUAGCACUCCAUUGAGCAGUAACACCGUACCCUAUUUCUCCGUGUUCCCCUUGACAAAGGUCCACGUGCAGCCUCCAGAGGAAAACGUAGGCAAACACCAGAGGGACAGGAGCGAGGAGGGCGCUGAGCUGAACACAGCACCUGCUCCCUGGGGUUCCAGGCCCCCCCAGGCCGGCGCCCUCUGAGCCUUCGGGUUGGGCUCACCCCUUAAGGGGUGUUCCUGAUGCAUUUAGGACUGGAUCCGAUUUGCAGAAACUCAGGUGGCUGCCCCGGGGGGCAGCCCAUCGUGUCCUGGGGGAGCUGAGAGGAGUCCCAUGGGUAACAUGUGUGUCACAGAAACAGCGAUCGGGAGCUGGGUUAAAAAUAGAACAUGAGACAAGUUUCGUA